rnacentral:misc_RNA from 1 species
AACGCAUAUUGCGCCCGAGGCUUCGGCCAAGGGCAUGUCUGCCUCAGCGUCGGGUUAAUACUCACCCAACCAAUCCCUGGUUGAGUGGAUCUGGCUUUCCCAGGCCUCGUGUCUGGGUUUGCUGAAGCAUAGAGGUUGAUGCAUGGACCCGCUAAGGGCCGCAACUGGGUAGGCAAUCUAUUUGCUAAUGCUUUAGUUGUUGGCUUGGGACUGUGCCUGUCGACCCGAAAUCAGGAAGAGCUUCGGCUCUAAACCCAUUUUCUCGACCUGAGCUCAGGCAAGAACACCCGCUGAACUUAA